AUCUUCAGUCUUUUCAGAGAAUCACAGAACUGUAGGAGGUGGAAGGAACCUCAAGAGAUCAUGGGUCCAACUCCCCUGCCAAAGCAGGUUCCCUAGAG